AAGUCGUAACAAGGUUCCCGUAGGUGAACCUGCGGAAGGAUCAUUAACGAAAUGCACCUGCUGUACGCCAACCUGCCGGCUAGAUCGCCAAAAGGCUAACGUACAGCAUGGUAACUUUCAACCAUUGUGAAUUUGUAAUACUUAUUUUACCAUUUGACUGUUAACGAAGACUGAUCAAUAAUCUGUUGGCGUUUAAAGAUGCUAAUACAAUCAUUGAAACAACUUUUGGCAACGGAUCUCUUGGCUCUC
rnacentral:misc_RNA from 1 species